ACCAUAUAUAGCAAAUUAUUCUAAACCUCCCUCUUGUCUUCUCCAUGAUCUGUAAACGCCUGUCACGGAUGACUAUCAACGCACGCCUAAUUUUCAUCCAACUAUUCCUUACAUUCUCUGUUACCAUUGCUGCAGGAGGUACUGAAUCUGAAAAUACACGUGUCAGUAGUACUGGCUUGAAAAAUUACAUAGUCCAUGUAAAGAGACAAGUAGCUUCACUAUCUACAAUAAGCAGCGAAGAUCUGAAGGCAUACCAUCGAUCAUUUCUUCCCUUUAAUACUCGUCUUGCAUCCUCGGAGAAAGAGGAACCAUUACUUUACUCAUACCAAAAUGUUGUCAGUGGUUUUGCAGCAAGACUCACUGAUGCCGAUAUUGAAGCCAUGAGUAAAAUAGAUGGG
rnacentral:lncRNA from 1 species